GCCAGCGUAGCUCAGUGGUAGAGCAACGGUUUUGUAAACCGUCGGUCGUCGGUUCAAUCCCGACCGCUGGCUCCA
rnacentral:tRNA from 1 species